CCCUUAGAUGUUCUGGGCCGCACGCGCGCUACACUGAUGAAUUCAACGAGCUCCUAACCUAGGCCGAAGGGUCCGGGUAAUCUUUGAAAUUUCAUCGUGAUGGGGAUAGAUUAUUGCAAUUAUUAAUCUUCAACGAGGAAUUCCUAGUACGCGCGAGUCAUCAGCUCGCGUUGAUUACGUCCCUGCCCUUUGUACACACCGCCCGUCGCUCCUACCGAUUGAAUGGUCCGGUGAAAUGUUCGGACCGCGACAAGGCGGACGGUUCGCUGUCAGCUUUGCUGCGGGAAGUUCAUUAAACCUUAUCAUUUAGAGGAAGGAGAAGUCGUAACA
rnacentral:rRNA from 1 species